CGGGUGUAGCCAAGUGGGUCAGGGCAGUGG
rnacentral:tRNA from 1 species